rnacentral:lncRNA from 1 species
GGUAGAGAUCGGGUAAGGAGCUCAGACACUAGGGAGGUGCUCAGAUUAGAACCGCUGCUCCUCCACGUCGAGAGGAGUCAGCUGAGGUGGCUCGGGCAUCUGGUUAGGAUGCCUUCUGGACGCCUCCCGUCAGAGGUGUUCCAGACAUGUCCCACCAAGAGGAGACCUCGUGGCCAGGUGGACAGAUUAUAACUCUCACCUGGCCUGGGAGCGCCUGGGAAUCCCCUCGGAGGAGCUGGUGGAAGUGGCUGGGGUCAGGGCCGUCUGGGCUUCCCUCCUGAAGCUGCUGCCUCCGCGACCCGGACCUGGAUGAAGCAGAAGAAAACGACAACGACUUUCAGCACUAAGUAUCUAUAUCUAACACACCGAGGUAUGCCCUUGCCAUCAGCACUUUUAACCCAAACUAACAGUCACAAUAGUGUAACCAACAGUAUAAAUGCAGGCAAAAUUAUUGAUUAUGUUGCAGCAUCUUUUGACAUUAUUGCACUUUGUACCAGUACUUUAUUGAUUGUUAUCAGGAAAAAGGCUGUAAAUGUCAAUAUAAUGUGUGUGCAGAGCCACAGGCUGCAGUUUCAGGGCCGCAAUGCUACUACCCUCUUCAGCAAAAUGUCCUUAAUAAGUGUCAUGAUUCAUUUUAAGAGAGAUAUCAAAACUGCUGUCAAAAAUAUAAAGAAAAAUAAAUUUAUGUAAUGUCGGGCCAGUGCAGCUCGAAUCUAAUUUAAUGAGGUCUUAAAUGAGACAAGUUGACUCUGUAAGUUUUAAUUUUUUUGUGCACUGCAGAUCAACCAACCAGCUGAAAGUUUCUUUUAACCAAUGCUCAGUUAGCUAUUUAAAAAAAAAGAAUUAACUUUAAAUAGUCCACAGUUUUUGUCAGAAAAUAAUUUAGGGUCAUAAAAGUGUUGUUUUUCAAACCUACCACGCAAUAAGCUAGCGGCUAACUAUAUUUACAUACAACUUUUCAAAUUACAAGUUAUAAAGUGCUCAACAAAUCAUUAAACAACAGAAACAGGACAGGUGGUUUAAUAAAAAGGCAAAUAACGAUCAAAACAAAUAUUAGCAAAUAAAAUAAAUGACAAAUAAGGAAAAUCUAUAACUCACUAAACAUAAUAUAAUACGACAAAUCUAACUAAGUCCUGAAAAAGUCAGAGGACAAGUAGAUCCUUGCUGACAGGACUAAAAAACUGGGAAUAAAACAGACAUUUCUCUAAUAUUAUUUUUUAAUUUCCCUUAAUCAAAUGUCUUUAAAUUAGGAUUUAUGGUUGAUUUGCAAUCUUUAAACAAUUGUACACAACACAACUCCUCUUUUUUUCAAAAACUCGUUUUAUUUUGAAAGGCAAGUUGUCUAACUUCCGCUGCCUCACCGGCUUGACGCAGCUGCUUUCAUUAGGGUACACGCAUGCGCAGAAAGCUUUCAUAGCAGGGACUGGUGUUUGAAUUGGAGUCGAGGUGACAGAGGGAGAUGAGAGGCUGCUGCUGUUCAAAACUGCUCUUUUCAAAUCCAGAAAUAGCUGCAACAGAGUUUAAAAUAAAACUUAGAGAGACAGAUUCUCCCAUGAUGCAAUGGGGAAGUGUUCUGUUCUGCCUCUUUUUUAUAAAUCCAUAAAAACAACAAUUGCAUCAAAGUUUAAAUGUCUUAUUAUGAGUGCACGUGUUUGAUUGAUUUUUGAGUUUCUGCUCAUUUAAAAACAUCAACCAGACGCUCAAUUGUUAAUUACAUCUGAAGAUAAUUAUUUGUCACUGUGGUGGGUCUGUGUGUGUGUGUGUGUGUGUGUGUGUGUGUGUGUGUGUGUGUGUGUGUGUAUAAACAGGUUACACGCUGGGACACUUUCAUUUGAUUAAACCAGCGGUUGGUGACAAAGACCAUCUAUCUGUCUCAUCACUCCUUGGCGACAAAAGCCUUUUGACCCAGCACGCUCAGUGGCAGAUGGCCCUCCCACCGCCUCCCAUCCUCCCCCUCCUCUUGCUCCUGCCUCCCCCCUUUCUUAUCAACCCCCCCUGUUUCAAAUCCAUGUCCCUAACAAAGACUGGGGGGCCUCCAUUUUACCACGUUGAGACUUGCUCGCCACAGGGCAGCUUUCCCCUAAAUUACAUCCUGUUAAUUAAUGUAACACCCCCACCCAGCCCGCCCCACCC